CAGCCGCCGCGGUAAUACGUAGGGUGCGAGCGUUAAUCGGAAUUACUGGGCGUAAAGCGUGCGCAGGCGGUUGUGUAAGACAGGUGUGAAAUCCCCGGGCUUAACCUGGGAACUGCGCUUGUGACUGCACAGCUAGAGUAUGGCAGAGGGGGUGGAAUUCCACGUGUAGCAGUGAAAUGCGUAGAGAUGUGGAGGAACACCGAUGGCGAAGGCAGCCCCCUGGGCCAAUACUGACGCUCAUGCACGAAAGCGUGGGGAGCAAACAGGAUUAGAUACCCGGGUAGUCCCUGUCUCUUAUACA
rnacentral:rRNA from 1 species